CGGCGAAGACCUCUUUCUUUUCUCAUGUGCAGCAGAACGUGGAGUUGGUGAGUUGGCACACUAAGAGUUGAAUUUAAAAUCUAUAUAAUCUCCGGUAGGAUUCAAUUGCAAGAGAGAGAAAACUGAUGGCCGAAAAGGAGAAGGCUCCAAAGUAGCAACUGGAGGUAGAGAACAGUAAGUUGCCCGAUGAGUAGAAGCCCAAGCAG
rnacentral:lncRNA from 1 species